AAAAAGACAAACCCUAGGUUUCCGUGUCUAACAUUUGACUGUCCGUCUUAUAUGAAAUUUUUUUAUAAUUAUUAUUUUUAUUGUUGUUAGAUGAUAAAACAUGAUUAAUACUUUAUGCGUGACUUGUCUUUUUAAUUUUUUUCAUAAUUUUUUUAAAUAAGAUGACGGUCAAACGUGGGACACGGAAAGUUAGGGAUUGUCUUUUU
rfam:Oryza barthii chromosome 1, whole genome shotgun sequence.